AUAUAAAUCCUUUAUUAUAUGUGUUUUGAUUUAUUCAUACCCCCACCUAUGAAUCACACAACUUUGGAUGUUUAUGAGCAAAACACAUUUAAAUAAAAUUGGAUCUUGAUCAGUAAUCUCAAUUUGAAAUGAACGAAAUUUUGAUGUCCUAUCGUGAAGAAACUAAUAAAAGUAUAAGAGUGUGAUUUGGAAAUGCAGUCAGGUGCACGUCUUCAAGUAACUCGCUCCAAUUUUAGAAGACAUCAACUAUAGUUACAAGUGUACAGCGAAGAGACUUGGAAGUUGGAGGCUUGCAGGGGAGAUAAAUCUUAUAAGGAAUUCAUCGCUCUCAUAUCCAUGUCAAGGAGAUAUAUACCAACUGGAAGUUUCGAGGAAUUGACAAAUUUGGCAUAUACAAACUAAAACCCGGUAUAGGGCAUUGUCCAAUGUCAGGUGUUCCUUUGAUAUUCCCUGUCCACUCUUGCGACCAAAGAAAGAACAGAAUGAAGUAGGGUAAGGUCAGCUAAAGGAUUUGAUGGGGCUAAGGAUGGUUCCAAAAAGAGCAGCUACUUUAGAUGAACGCUACUGUGGUUGCACUAUUUAUUUGCAUGCAUGAAAUUGACAUACGUGUAUCCUGUUCGCUUGAGCCAUGAUAAAGAUAGGUGAACUCGAUAUCAAAGGGAUGAAAAGAAGCUGAUAGCAUAAUACAUGAGUAGUUUGGGCCAAGAAUAACCUUGAUGAUCAAGAGAACUUUACUGACCAUCCGUAAAUCUCAACGAAAGCCUUCUACCGGGGCUUUGCUGGGAAAACCUGCUUAAAAAACCUUAAGUUAUAUGGACAUGUGUGAAGACCAAGAGAGAUUAUUCACUUCUCUUCUUCCUUAGUCUAAGCAAUCAAUUUGUGGGAUAAAUUAUUUUCCAUUUGUAUUUAGAUUUUUGUGUUUGUAUAACCUUUUUUUCAAGUUAUACCUUGAAAGGAACCUACAAUGAGAUUGUACCCGGAUAGAGAUAGUGGUCUUACUCUGGCCCAUAAUAGAAUUGCUAGGUGAAGCAGUCAAAUAGAUAGCAGGUUGCUUACGAGCUCAAACCGUUUGAAACAUAAUUGCUACUUAUUGACAUAGUGUUAGUUGUCGUCCCUGUCAAAUAAAGAUGACUAGAGAGUUACCACGAAGCUCUCUUCUCCUUUCUUUUUGA